rnacentral:lncRNA from 1 species
UAAUAUAUUAAAUCUGGCUUCAUAAGUUAAUAAUAAUAUUAUCUUAUAUUUAUUUACUUAAAACAAAUUAUUUUUUUUCUAAGUGAUAAUAAUUUUUUGCCUAACCCUAUGGUAAGCCUUGAACAAGAGAAGGGGAUACACUAGGGGUAGGAGGUUUCAACACAAUGGGGUUAAAAGAAAAAAAUUAAAAAAAGAUACUUUUACAAUUUAACUGAUAUAGAUGCCGGGUUCAAUUCAUAACUAUUUUAGAGAAUGCUACCAAUAACCUUGGCUCAAAGCCAUGAAACAUAAUACAAAUCGUCCUCAAUAAUAAAGAAACGUAUGCAAAUUAGAAAUAGCAUUAAGUGAAUAAGCAAUAUCAGCAUGACAGUCAAAUCAGAAGAAACAACAUCAAUCAAGCAACAAUUAAGCAAUUAACCAAAUCAGAAGCAACGAGAAGCGUAAUUCAAUUGGAGGAUUAUAUUGAAUUGUUCAAUAACUCUUGAAUGCAAAGAAGUGUAGAACAGGACCUUGAGGCGGCUAAGUAAUGAGUGAGUGAUGAAAAUGUGAGAAGACAGCAGCAGAGUGAUUGAGUAAGUCACCGAGAACCAAGAAGGGAAGGAAGAUGAAGAGACACAGAGAGAACUCAAAAGAAAUGAGGGGAUGAGGCCGCGAGGGAGAAGCGGAGAAAAAUUAAGGCUAAGAUUCCGUUUGCA